GUUCCGUUGGUUUAGUUGGUUAUAACGUCCGCUUAACACGCGGAAGGUCACCAGUUCGAUUCUGGUAUGGAAUA